rnacentral:tRNA from 1 species
CGAAAUUGUAGUUUAAUUAAAAUAUUAGCAUUGGAAGUUAAAGAAUAGGUCUAUAUUCCUACAUUUCGA